rnacentral:rRNA from 1 species
CUACGGGGUGCAGCAGUGAGGAAUUUUGCGCAAUGGGGGAAACCCUGACGCAGCAACGCCGCGUGAGUGAAGAAGGCUUUCGGGUCGUAAAGCUCUGUCAGAUAGGAAAAAAGUUCAUAUGUAAAUAGCUUAUGAAUCUGAUGGUACUAUCAGAGGAAGCACCGGCUAACUCCGUGCCAGCAGCCGCGGUAAUACGGAGGGUGCAAGCGUUGUUCGGAAUUACUGGGCGUAAAGGGCGUGUAGGCGGUAUGGUAAGUCAGAUGUGAAAGCCCUGGGCUUAACUCAGGAAGUGCAUUUGAUACUGCCGUCCUUGAGUAUGGGAGAGGAGAGUAGAAUUCCCAGUGUAGAGGUGAAAUUCGUAGAUAUUGGGAGGAAUACCCGUGGCGAAGGCGACUCUCUGGACCAAUACUGACGCUGAGACGCGAAAGCGUGGGGAGCAAACAGGAUUAGAUACCCGCGUAGUC